rnacentral:rRNA from 1 species
UUAAUUGAAGAGUUUGAUCAUGGCUCAGAUUGAACGCUGGCGGCAGGCCUAACACAUGCAAGUCGAGCGGAAACGAGUUAUCUGACCCUUCGGGUGACGAUAACGGCGUCGAGCGGCGGACGGGUGAGUAAUGCCUGGGAAAUUGCCCUGGUGUGGGGGAUAACCAUUGGAAACGAUGGCUAAUACCGCAUAAUAGCUUCGGCUCAAAGAGGGGGACCUUCGGGCCUCUCGCGUCAGGAUAUGCCCAGGUGGGAUUAGCUAGUUGGUGAGGUAAAGGCUCACCAAGGCGACGAUCCCUAGCUGGUCUGAGAGGAUGAUCAGCCACACUGGAACUGAGACACGGUCCAGACUCCUACGGGAGGCAGCAGUGGGGAAUAUUGCACAAUGGGCGCAAGC